UACGUAGGGUGCAAGCGUUGUCCGGAAUUAUUGGGCGUAAAGAGCGUGUAGGCGGCCCGAUUAGUCCGCUGUGAAAGUCCAGGGCUCAACCCUGGAAUGCCGAUGGAUACUGUCGAGCUAGAGUCCGGAAGAGGCGGGUGGAAUUCCUGGUGUAGCGGUGGAAUGCGCAGAUAUCGGGAGGAACACCAAUGGCGAAGGCAGCUCGCUGGGACGGUACUGACGCUGAGACGCGAAAGCGUGGGGAGCAAACAGG
rnacentral:rRNA from 1 species